rnacentral:rRNA from 1 species
UGGGGGAUAUUGCACAAUGGGCGAAAGCCUGAUGCAGCGACGCCGCGUGGGGGAUGAAGGCCUUCGGGUUGUAAACUUCUUUUGCUCUGAACAAGGCAUGCCUUUGGGGUGUGUUGAGUGUAGGGGUUGAUUAGCGCCGGCUAACUACGUGCCAGCAGCCGCGGUAAUACGUAGGGCGCGAGCGUUGUCCGGAAUUAUUGGGCGUAAAGGGCUUGUAGGUGGCUGGUUGCGUCUGUCGUGAAAGCUCAUGGCUUAACUGUGGGUUUGCGGUGGGUACGGGCUGGCUUGAGUGCAGUAGGGGAGGCUGGAAUUCCUGGUGUAGCGGUGGAAUGCGCAGAUAUCAGGAGGAAUACCGGUGGCGAAGGCGAGUCUCUGGGCUGUUACUGACGCUGAGGAGCGAAAACGUGGGGAGCGAACAGG